GUGACAAAGUUGGUAUCAGAGCUUAGGUUUAGAUUUCCUUCGACCUAAGUUAGGAUUUUUCUUGGUACUGCGGAGUUAGGAUCAUGUCUGUCUUGUUGUUUUCAUUGACUCCAGUGUUUCAGCCUUCACUGUUAGAGAGUCAGUCUUUCCUUUCUUGUAAGCUUGUUUUUGGUGCCGUGCUGAGAAUGUGCCUUGUAGCGAUGGGAGAUCCGAAGCGCGAUAGACUCGUGCUGUUUCUUCAAGUGAUUAGUGCAGUCCGCCUUUAGAAGCUUUGAUUGUUGUUUCGAUGGUGGGCACCGCAGUCAGUUUUAGUGUAGAGCGUGGUUGCAGUCAUGUCAUGAACUGCCUCGUCAUCGCAUCAGGCAUCGUCUUUUUGAGUAGCGCCGAAAGUAGUGCCUGGGAAGUCGAGUAGAUGUCAGAGCUCUAUGGUUGAGUUUUGGUGAUUGUAAGAAGCUUAAGAAAGGUGGCAGGAGUAUUUUCGGACGCUCAGAAUCCAGAGAAACUUAAGCGAACAUUAUUUAUUUUUCUAAGUAAAACAAGUGUUUUGAAAUACAAUAUUGCGCCCAGUCCCGUAAGAAUGCAUUAUGGCAUUUCACUGUUAGGCAUGCAUAAAUUCAU
rnacentral:lncRNA from 1 species